CAGCUCGUGCCGUGAGGUGUCGGGUUUAAGGUCCCAUAACGAGCGCAACCCCUACCCUUUAGUUUGCCAUCAGGUUAAGCUGGGGACGUCUAAAGGAACUGCCUACGCAAGUAGUGAGGAAGGCGGGGAUGACGUCAAAUCAGCACGGCCCUUACGUCCAGGGCUACACACGUGCUACAAUGGCCGAUACAGAGGGCAGCUACCUGGUGACAGGAUGCAAAUCUCCAAAGUCGGUCUCAGUUCGGAUCGGAGUCUGCAACCCGACUCCGUGAAGUUGGAUCCGCUAGUAAUCGCGCAUCAGCCAUGGCGCGGUGAAUACGUUCCCGGGCCUU
rnacentral:rRNA from 1 species